GACGAACGCUGGCGGCGUGCCUAACACAUGCAAGUCGAACGGGGUAAGAAGCUUCGGUUUCUUACUUAGUGGCGAACGGGUGAGUAACGCAUGAGAAACCUGCCUUUCAGUGGGGGACAACAGUUGGAAACGACUGCUAAUACCGCAUAAUGUUAUUUGAGGGCAUCCUCGGAUAACCAAAGAUUUAUUGCUGAAAGAUGGUCUCGCGUCUGAUUAGCUAGAUGGCGGGGUAACGGCCCACCAUGGCGACGAUCAGUAGCCGGUCUGAGAGGGUGAACGGCCACAUUGGGACUGAGAUACGGCCCAGACUCCUACGGGAGGCAACAGUGGGGAAUAUUGGGCAAUGGGGGAAACCCUGACACAGCAACGUCGCGUGAAGGAAGAAGGCCUUCGGGUUGUAAACUUCUUUUAGCAGGGACGAAGAACGUGACGGUACCUGCAGAAAAAGCAACGGCUAACUACGUGCCAGCCGCCGCGGUAAAAC
rnacentral:rRNA from 1 species